UUGUGGUCAUAUCACGUUGAAACUCUGGUUCACAUACAAUCACCAAAGUUAAGCAAUGUCGAGCCUGGUCAGUACCUAGAUGGGUGACUGCUUGGGAAUAUCAGGUGCUGUAAG
rnacentral:rRNA from 1 species